CGAGACCUCGAUUUUUUCUUUCUCCUCGGCCACGUGAAGUGAAGGUGCUGCAAAAAGAUCACAGUCGUGUCUCGAGUGCCCAAAUAAUCCAAAACCAAUUCCAAAGGCAAAGAUACUGAAAAAUUAAAAAAAAUCACGAACGCAUGAAAAUAAUUAAGCAAACAUGUUCGCUCGCAAGUGGCGUUCAAUCUCGAAAUUGCAGCAAGCUGUCGGUAGUGGGAAUUUCCCACAAUUUUUUGUCAGCCAGCGGCACAAGUUUGACAAAAGAGAAGCUAACUUGUGGUCCAAAACCAACACAGAUAGAGCCCUGGAUCAUUUCGAUGAUUUUUAUGGUACAUUUUAUGGAGACCUUUGGCCAGCAACAAGACUUGCAAUGUUGUCUACACCUAAACAUUGUGCUUUAGUUAAUUACUACGGUGACUAUAACGAAACUAUUGAAAAGCUCAAGAAUAUGGGGUGCAUGGAUAUUCAAGAACUUUUUGAACAAAGCCGUUCCAAAAAAACCAAAACACGUAAAACCCCAGAAAACAUGCCUACUGAUGUCCUCGAAAAGGAAGCUGGUGUUGAAGAUGAGGAGAGUGAAAACUUUCAAGAGCUCACAGAUGACAGAGUCAUCUCUCCUGGUCAGACAACUUCUGCCUACUUGAAUUUUGUUCCGACAACAAAAUUAAAAGGGAUGGAAGAUUGGCUAGAGGAAGAAGAUCAGUUUGAAUAUGUCAAGCCAACUUACGACUUUGUGGUUGAAAAGCAAAAAGACGAACGCCUGGAUUUCCCUUCUCUGCUCAAAGCGUUUGUUUUUCCACGAGGGGACAUCUCGCGAUUUCCUUCCCCUAAAAAAAGUACUUUUGGUACUUCCAAUUAUUACUUGAUGGACGCUGCAUCUCUACUUCCCGUAUUGGCGCUGAACCUACAGCCAACUGAGUCUGUCUUGGAUUUAUGUGCAGCACCAGGAGGGAAAUCCCUGGCUAUAUUACAGACGCUCUAUCCAAAUAGACUUGUCUGCAAUGACAUUACGAUUUCGCGGAUUUCGCGCCUUAAUAAUGUGCUGAAGCAAUAUCUUGGGCAGACGCAAACCUGGAAGGAACAUCUAGAGGUCCGAAAAUCGGAUGCUUUGCACUGGUCUGAAUUUGAUGCGUUCGAUAAAGUCCUGGUGGAUGUGCCCUGUACCAAUGACAGGCAUUCAGUCAUGGAGGAUGACAAUAAUUAUUUCAAGAAAGAUCGAAUGAAAGAACGGAUAAGUUUGCCUGAAACUCAGUCAGCCCUCCUCUGCGCCGGAGUUCGAGCGUGUAAGCCCGGUGGCACUAUCGUCUAUUCCACCUGUAGCCUUUCGCCCAUUCAGAAUGACGGUGUCGUUCAUAUGGCAAUAAAGCAACUCAAGGAAAUGUACAAAAUCGACACGGUCGUCAAGGAUAUGUCGAUGACGGCUGGACAUUUUAGGUUCCUCUGCCGUUUUGCCCCAUCAUCCUCACUCCGUUACGGCCAGGUGGCGCUUCCUUCCAUUGUCAACAACUUCGGACCCAUGUACAUAUCCAAGUUGCAGCGAGUCAUUUAACAUCUUUUGUCGUCUAGAGGUCAUCAUGGCAAUUUAGUGCCUUGACAAAUGUCUCCAUCAGUUUCCCAUAGUGCGGAGGCCAAGUUUGAAUAGGAAUUGAACUGUGUUGCGUUAAAGUUUCGUGACUUACUGAAACGGGUUUUUCUUCUACGUCCAACUUGACCUUAGAGCAACAUCUUCACAGCAUUGAUUCCAAGAGUGGGGGGACAUUUCUGCUACGCCAACCGGUUUCGAAGGUAGCGGACAUUCAGGGCACACUGCUGGUAUGUAUAAUCUUCUAACCCCACUGUGAAAGCCAAGUGUCCUUGUUUCGCAUUUGAAAGGAAAAGCACUAGAGUCAACCAUAAAUCACGCCACCGAAACAAAAUUAUUUUCAACUUUUACAAGUCAUCUCAAUUUUUUUGUCGCCAUUCUUAGGGCAGCGUUGGCGUUAUAAGGUCAAGA
rnacentral:misc_RNA from 1 species